rnacentral:rRNA from 1 species
AACGAACGCUGGCGGUAUGCUUAACACAUGCAAGUCGAACGAACAAAGCUGGAGCUUGCUUCAGUUUUGUUAGUGGCAAACGGGUGAGUAACACGUGGGAAUCUACCCAUCAGUACGGAAUAACAUUUGGAAACAGAUGCUAAUACCGUAUAUUCUCCAAGGAGGAAAGAUUUAUCGCUGAUGGAUGAGCCCGCGCAAGAUUAGGUAGUUGGUAGGGUAAUGGCCUACCAAGCCGACGAUCUUUAGCUGGUCUGAGAGGAUGAUCAGCCACACUGGGACUGAGACACGGCCCAG